CGCUAUACUAGUAAUUGUCUGUGAAGUAAUGAAAUUCAAUAUGUCUUAGUAUUUGUACGGUGAAUGACAUUUGUAUAAAUGCAUUGAAGACCUUUGUUUGGAUUAUUGUAAAAUGCUCAGUAGUUUGGAUAAAUUGUAAAUGAUUGAUGUCUUACUAAUGUUUAUCUAAAACAGAAGUUUAAAUAUUGUUUCAAUGGAGUGACUAGAUCAGAAGUGUCAAGAUAUAAACGCAUGUGCAAUAUAUAUCUAUUUAUCGCAAGGAUACUUGUAAUAUUUUAUCUUACGUCCGUGUUAACAAGACAUGGAAACUCAUUCAGAAAAUCAAGGCGAAUUUUCUGCAGAAACGUCCGAAGAAGCUUUUUGUAUAAGAUCUCAGGAAGAUAUUGCGGAAGUAAAUAAACCUUCUUUGAGAGAAGAUCGCACUCACAACAAGAUCAAUCAAGAUGAAAUACGUACUGAUACUGCAAAAAGAGGUCAUGCUGAUGAUCAAUUCGAUGAUAGUGACAAUGAAAGUGACUUAGAGGAUGAGGCAGAUCAGAUUACACCCGGACUGAGACAAUUCAAUGAUACAUAUGAUGUUAUAAAUAUUAAACAUCAACAAAGUUUAGAGGAAACGUAUGACCAACAUGAUGGUCCUGAAAUUCUUCUUAUUCCGAUCAAGCAAGGUUUACUAACUGCAGGACCGAGUACAGAUGGUUGUGUCGAAAAUGAAAGAUGCGAAGAAUUUGAUGAGGAGACAAAAUGGAUCCGAGGGCAUAUCAAGCGGAGAGAAUGUUCUCAAUUUAUUGAGGACCCCAAUCAGGAACAAACACCGAAAGGAGAGAGGCGGUGCUACUGCGGCUACCUCUAUAACGAGCACAGCAAUGAGGCUCAGGAGGGUGCCGUAGAGGAAGGGACAAAAUGGGACUACAUGAAACAUUCUCUGCCAAAAAUGACAAACGCCUUCGGGGAAAUGGAGUUUAUCGGCUACGGUGGAAAUGUGAGGAAGUAUGUUAGGGUAGAUGUGGAGACAAAGAUGUCGGACAUGCUGGAAUUAAUGAUGAAGGUCUGGGGGCUCGAUAAGCCAAAGCUUCUCAUAUCCGUGAUAGGGGGCGCUGAAAACUUUAACAUGAGCAAACGACUCCGGGACACAUUUCGACACGGCCUCUUAACGACCAUACUAACUACAGGUGCCUGGAUUGUAGCAGGCGGCACAAACGAAGGAGUGAUGAAGCAUGUCGGAAAGGCUGUGGAGGCUUCUAGUAUAGCAUCGAUAAACAAAAACCAGGUCAUCUCCAUUGGAAUAGCACCGUGGGGCUGUGUACAGAAUAAAGAGGCUCUCAUCGAUGAAACGAGCAAAGGACUUUGGCCGGCGAAAUACUUGAUAGGAAAAGGGCAAAGCAAGACAGAUAGUUUUCUAGACCCGAAUCACUCACAUUUCGUCCUCGUCGACAAUGCCACACAAAACACGUUCGCUGCUGCUGAGAUUCAAUUCAGGGAAAAUUUCGAGAAGGAAAUAGCCAAAAACAAUACUGGGACGGGAGAAAUAGAUGCCGUAUCGGUGCCUAGCAUUCUGCUAGUUCUGGCGGGAGAUCUUGGCACGCUAGAAAAUGUUCAUCAAGCGAUAAAAAACAACACACCCAUAGUCGUUGUAAAGAGCUCAGGUCGGGCAGCGGAUAUCCUCGCGUACGCCUACCUUAAUGCAAAGGAAGGGGGAAUUGAAGCUACAGACCAUGCUGGGAAAAAGCACAAAGAGACUCGUCAGUACCUUGAGGACUCGGUGCAAAUCAAGGUUCGGGAAAUGAUAGAACACGAGUUCGGCAAUAAGGAAACGAUGUCACACUUGAAACACAUUUGUGAUUGCCUCGAGAAAAGCGACUUCAUAUCUGUGUACGACAUAGAAGGGAAAGGCGGGGUGAAGGGUAUUGAAGCUACUAUUCUUCAGGCUCUAUUAAAAGCCAACAAGUACCAAGUGAUGGACCAGUUAAGGCUAGCCCUGGCCUGGAACAGAAUUGAUGUGGCAAAAAGCGUCAUCCUCAUCGAUGACCAUAAAUUGCCGACAAAGAAACUGGAUGGUGUUACGUUCUCAGCCAUACUACUGAACCGGAUCGACUUUAUCAAUCUUUUUCUCGACCACGGUGUAAACCUAAAAGAGUUCCUUACAAAGAGAAGGCUUUUAAUGCUGUACAACAAGAUUCCGUCCAACUGUUUACUGCGAACCAUGCUGGAGAGCUCAAAGAAAGCUGAUAAAAAUGCUGAAUUUUCACUGAAGGACGUAGGAAUGCUGAUUCGAGACCUAUUGGGAGAGACGUUUCACCCUAAGGUGCUCGGUCUUGAUUAUGUCUUGGACAAAAUGAAGCCAACGCAAGAAGAAGAUUAUAUGUCCUGUCAAUUUGAACAGCCUUUUCUGGAACUGUUUGUCUGGUCGAUACUGAUGAUGUAUCAAGACAUGGCAAAACUGUGCUGGGCUGAAGGGAAAGAUCCCAUAGCUACGGCUCUGGUUGGUAACAACCUGCUCAAGACCAUGUUAAGGAAAACAGAUGACAAGGAGCUCGUCAAGAGAAUACAGGCAUUCAUAACUGAAUGGUCAGAUUUAGCUACCGGAGUAUUGUCGGAUUGUCACUCAACAGACGAAGACUUUACCCAGGCCUUGUUGGUACGGGAGCAAAGCAAAUGGGGCAAAACAUCGUGUAUGUUGAUGGCUGUGCAGGCAGAAAACAAGGACUUUAUAUCGCAAAACGCAUGCCAGUCUCUGCUAAACAGGAUAUGGAAUGGCAGACUUGUUCAGGACAUAUCGAGAUGGAGGCUCCUGUUGUGCUUGAUUUGCCCAUUCUUGAUUUGUGUUCUGCUGGACUUCACCAAACCUGAUACCUGUGCUCAUCAGUCAACAUACACAAAGGGUGACAACAAAAACAGAGAUUCCAACCAAGAUUCUCACAACAAUCAAGAUUAUCACAACAACAAGAUAAAGAUACAGAAAACGCGCCAGCUUAUGGCUACAAGAGGAAGCGAGCUAUCAGUUUUCGAUAAGUUCUACUACUUUUUCACAGCUCCUGUCAUCAUCUUUUUGUAUAAUUUGUGUUCUUACCUCGUGUUUCUCAGCCUGUACACGUACAUCCUGAUUUUCAAGUUUGACCGCCAAGUCAACCUGGAAGAGAUCAUUCUCAUGAUCUGGGUGUUUGCAAUUACAACGGAGGAAAUCAGACAGAUGGUAAUGAACUCUUCAACAACAUUAUCCAAGAAAAUUCAAAGCUACAUCUCUGACACAUGGAACAAAGUUGACACCAUGACCAUAGUGGUAUUCAUUAUCGGAAUAAUCCUUCGAUUUAUGCCUUACGAGAGAACGUUCGAAGCUGCCAGAGUGGUCCUUGCUCUCAACUUUGUAACGUUUUUUCUGCGGCUGCUACAUAUCUUCUCAGUCCACAAAGAACUGGGACCAAAACUUGUUAUGAUUGGCAAAAUGAUUCAGGACUUAAUGUACUUCCUGUUGAUCUUGAUGGUGUUUGUGUUCUCGUACGCGAUUUCCUCCAACUCCAUCCUCUAUCCAAACUCCCCACUUACCUGGAACACGGCUGUUCAGAUCAUCCGUAAAUCCUACUGGAACAUCUAUGGAGAGCUGUUUCUUGAAGAAAUUGAAGGUGAAGCUGACUGUUCAUACGACGCUACAUUAUGGCUGAAUGGUACCCAAGCCAGGUGCCCGACCGACACAGGAAAGUGGCUAGUGCCGAUCAUGAUGGGCAUCUACAUGAUGAUUGCCAAUGUAUUACUUCUUAAUCUUCUUAUUGCAAUGUUCAGCAACACGUUCCGAAAAGUCCAGGACAACACAGACAAACAUUGGCACUUCCAGCGUUACUCUCUAAUCAACGAAUACUACAAUCGACCUGUACUUUUCCCUCCGCUUAUUCUUCUCGCGCAUAUAUAUUUGCUAUUCGGAUUUAUAUGCGAGUCGUGCUGCUGUAAGGUUAUGAAAAAGCAGCGUGAAGAAACCGAAAAUUGCUUUUGUCGAAAGUUUAAGAAUGAGCGCGAGUUGAUAAAAUGGGAGAACGUGAUUGCUCAUGCAUUUCAUCGAAAACGGGAACUGGAAGAUGUGGCGGAUCUUGAACACAAGGUUGAUAGCACACACAACAUUAUUGAGGAGAUCCAGCAACAGCUUGAAGUGAAAAUUCCACCUAGACUGGAUAGUAGGCUGACACACAUUGAAGAGAUUCAGCAACAGCUUGAAGUGAAAAUUUCAUCUAGACUUGAUAAUAGGCUAACAAACAUUGAGGAGAUCCAGCAACAGCUUGAAGUGAAAAUUCCACCUAGACUGGAUAGUAGGCUGACAAACAUUGAGGAGAUCCUGCAACAGCUUAAAGUGAAAAUUGAACCUAGACUGGAUAGAAGGCUGAACAUCAUUGAAAAACAGCUGGAAAGUACUCAGAAAUCUUUGGAGUGGAUUAUAUCGACUCUACAAAAUAAUUCAGUGAAAGAGAAUAAACCUGCCGAGCCAGCCCAAGAGGUCCUGUACAGAAUGAAUAUCAGGGAUGAAGAGAUAUGAAGAUGAUAUUCUCAAAUUCUUCUCACAAAGGCUAAGUGUUAUUCGGGUAUGUACCAAAAUGAAGUUUGGGAGAAUGUAUCACUGACGUUCUGAUUGAUUGUCUCUUACCAGCUUACAUGGCAGGGCUCACAUCUAUACUUGGAGCCGAGAGACUUGGGGCAUAAUGUUAAACAAGCUGCACGGCUCAUAUAUGUGCUUUGUAAAUCACAGUGCCAAGAGGCAAAGUGAGAGCAGUUCUAUAAAAUGUUAAAAACACAUUCUAGUACUUUUAAUUUGGUAUAUAUAUUAAAGGUACUAUUAAAAAGAUAAUUACAAGGAUGUUGAUUCGGGGCACACAUAUCUUCGGAUCAUUUGUAAAGAUAUAAACGUUAAUGUUUGCUAUCCUAAAUUCAGUCAGAUAGAUUUGACAUGAUGUAAUGUAGACAUAUACCAAAAUAAUCAUGUAUUGUGUAUAUUAUUAUAGUGUUUCUGUAAUAACUGUUUCUGUGCCUCUUGAAUGAGUGUAAUGUAUUGACAGACAAAGUCACACUCGUUACAUUUACGCGUUACAUAUUGUCCGUGCGUAAACAUUGGUUGUGGGUUUUUUUCUGAUCGAUUUUGACCAUCACCCGUGUGUCAAGUCUACUUGUAAUUGUAGUGUUGUUGUAAAAUUAUUGGAAGGCCAAAACAAAUAAUGUUUAGUUUCGCAGACCCUGCUGAUUCAUUAUCCAAAUCAUGUUCCAUACUUUUAUGUCACAACAUUAAUAUAACUCCUUCUUUUCAGCCCCAAUAGGAUUACUAGGAGGGAUUUCCUUUCCAUUAUUGUUUUUGUGUUCCAUGUCUUUUGCGUUUACCCUGUUUCAUUAAACGGGGUUUAUGUUUAACUUUUGGCUACUGAGCUUGUUUCUGUAGCUUUCCACAUAAGUAUGUACAUUUAUUUUGAUACUUUGUAAUGUGCAUGUAUCUUUUCAUAUUGUUAUGUACAUUUAUUGUGUCACUUUGUAAUUAACAUAUCUGUGUUACACAUAUUAUAUUAUAAGAUAUGCACUGUUUUACUGACAUUUUCAAAUAAUUAAAACCUAAAUAUUAUGGUUGCUUUUCAAUAAUACAAACACGUAAAAUCAGAUUUAAAAUGUUGUAUUUUUUAAAUUUCUUUUUGUAUUUGUUGUAUAUACUUACUUUUUCAACAUAAUUAUAUAAUGUCUAUUUAUUCUGUCACAUUGUAAUGUACAUUUAUUUUGUCACAUUGUAAUGUCUGUUAGGCUAUUACCUUUAGGCUAUUACCUUGUGUCUGAAUGCCUGGUAUCCAUUGUAAUCGCUGUUAGGCUAUUACCUUGUGUCUGAAUGCCUGGUAUCUAUUGUAAUCUCUGUUAGGCUAUUACCUUGUGUCUGAAUGCCUGGUAUCCAUUGUAAUGUCUGUUAGACUAUUACAUUGUGUCUGAAUGCCUAGUAUCCAAUGUAAUCUCUGUUAGGCUAUUACCUUGUGUCUGAAUGCCUGGUAUCCAUUGUAAUCUCUGUUAGGCUAUAACCUUGUGUCCGAAUGCCUGGUAUCCAUUGGAAUGCCUGUUCGGCUGUUUUAUUGUGUCUGAAUGCCUGGUAUCCAUUGGAAUGCAUGUAAGGCUAUUACCUUGUGUCUGAACGCCUAGUAUCCAAUGUAAUGUCUGUUAGGCUAUUACCUUGUGUCUGAAUGCCUGGUAUCCAUUGUAAUCUCUGUUAGGCUAUUACCUUGUGUCUGAAUGCCUGGUAUCCAUUGGAAUGCAUGUUAGGCUAUAACCUUGUGUCUGAAUGCCUGGUAUCCAAUGUAAUCUCUGUUAGGCUAUUACCUUGUGUCUGAAUGCCUGGUAUCCAAUGCAAUCUCUGUUAGGCUAUUACCAUGUGUCUAAAUGCCUGGUAUCCAUUGUAAUGUCUGUUAGACUAUUACAUUGUGUCUGAAUGCCUGGUAUCCAUUGUAAUCUCUGUUAGGCUAUUACCUUGUGUCGGAAUGCCUGGUAUCCAUUGUAAUGUCUGUUAGGCUAUUACCUUGUGUCUAAAUGCCUGGUAUCCAAUGUAAUCUCUGUUAGGCUAUUACCAUGUGUCGGAAUGCCUGGUAUCCAUUGGAAUGCAUGUUAGGCUAUUACCUUGUGUCUAAAUGCCUAGUAUCCAUUGUAAUGUAUGUUAGGCUAUUACCUUGUGUCUAAAUGCCUAGUAUCCAAUAUAAUGUCUGUAAGGCUAUUACCUUGUGCUUGAAUGCCUGGUAUUCAUUGUAAUAUAUGUUAGGCUAUUACCUUCUACUUGAAUGCCUAGUAUCCAAUAUAAUGUCUGUAAGGCUAUUACCUUGUGCUUGAAUGCCUGGUAUUCAUUGUAAUAUAUGUUAGGCUAUUAGCUUGUGUCUAUAUGCCUGGUAUCCAUUGUACUGUCUGUUAGGCUAUUACAUUGUGCUUGAAUUCCUGGUAUCCUUUGUAAUGUAUGCUAGGAUAUUACCUUGUGCUUGAAUGCCUGGUAUCCAUUGUAAUAUCUGCUAGGCUAUUAACUUGUGGUUGAAUGCCUGGUUUUCAUUGUAAUAUAUGUUAGGCUAUUACCUUGUGUCUAUAUGACUGGUAUCCAAUGUAAUGUCUGUUAGGCUAUUACCUUGUGCUUGAAUGCCUGGUAUUCAUUGUAAUAUAUGUUAGGCUAUUACCUUCUACUCGAAUGCCUAGUAUCCAAUGUAAUGUCUGUUAGGCUAUUACCUUGUGCUUGAAUGCCUGGUAUUCAUUGUAAUAUAUGUUAGGCUAUUACCUUCUACUUGAAUGCCUGGUAUCCAAUGUAAUGUCUGUAAGGCUAUCACCUUGUGCUUGAAUGCCUGGUAUUCAUUGUAAUAUCUGUAAGGCUAUUACAUUGUGCUUGAAUGCCUGGUAUUCAUUGUAAUAUAUGUAAGGCUAUUACCUUCUACUUGAAUGCCUGGUAUCCAAUGUAAUGUCUGUAAGGCUAUCACCUUGUGCUUGAAUGCCUGGUAUUCAUUGUAAUGUCUGUAAGGCUAUCACCUUGUGCUUGAAUUCCUGGUAUUCAUUGUAAUGUAUGUUAGGCUAUUACCUUGUGCUUGAAUGCCUGGUAUUCAUUGUAAUGUAUGUUAGGCUAUUACCUUGUGCUUGAAUGCCUGGUAUCCAAUGUAAUGUCUGUAAGGCUAUCACCUUGUGCUUGAAUGCCUGGUAUUCAUUGUAAUGUCUGUAAGGCUAUCACCUUGUGCUUGAAUGCCUGGUAUUCAUUGUAAUGUAUGUUAGGCUAUUACCUUCUACUUGAAUGCCUGGUAUUCAAUGUAAUGUCUGUUAGGCUAUUACCUUGUGCUUGAAUGCCUGGUAUUCAUUGUAAUAUAUGUUAGGCUAUUACCUUCUACUUGAAUGCCUAGUAUCCAAUGUAAUGUCUGUUAGGCUAUUACCUUGUGCUUGAAUGCCUGGUAUUCAUUGUAAUAUAUGUUAGGCUAUUACCUUCUACUUGAAUGCCUGGUAUUCAUUGUAAUGUAUGUUAGGCUAUUACCUUCUACUUGAAUGCCUGGUAUUCAAUGUAAUGUCUGUUAGGCUAUUACCUUGUGCUUGAAUGCCUGGUAUUCAUUGUAAUGUAUGUUAGGCUAUUACCUUCUACUUGAAUGCCUGGUAUCCAAUGUAAUGUCUGUUAGGCUAUUACCUUGUGCUUGAAUGCCUGGUAUUCAUUGUAAUAUAUGUUAGGCUAUUACCUUCUACUUGAAUGCCUAGUAUCCAAUGUAAUGUCUGUUAGGCUAUUACCUUGUGCUUGAAUGCCUGGUAUUCAUUGUAAUAUAUGUUAGGCUAUUACCUUGUGUCUAUAUGACUGGUAUCCAUUGUAAUGUCUGUUAGGCUAUUACAUUGUGCUUGAAUGCCUGGUAUCCUUUGUAAUGUAUGUUAGGAUAUUACCUUGUGCUUGAAUGCCUGGUAUCCAUUGUAAUAUCUGCUAGGCUAUUACCUUGUGUCUGAAUGCCUAGUAUCCGUUGUAAUUUGAAUACUGGUAUCCAUUGUAAUGUCUGCUAGGCUAUUACCUUGUGUCUGAAUGCCUAGUAUCCGUUGUAAUUUGAAUACUGGUAUCCAUUGUAAUGUCUGCUAGGCUAUUACCUUGUGUCUGAAUGCCUAGUAUCCGUUGUAA